rnacentral:tRNA from 1 species
ACCUAGCUGGCUCAGUUGGUAGAGCAUGCAACUCUUGAUCUUGGGGUUGUGAGUUCAAGCCCCAUGUUGGGUA